CCUACGGGAGGCAGCAGUAGGGAAUAUUGCACAAUGGAGGAAACUCUGAUGCAGCCGUGCCGCGUGUGUGAAGAAGGCCUUCGGGUUGUAAAGCACUUUCGGAGGGGAGGAAGUAAAUGACGUUACCCUCAUAACAAGUACCGGCUAACUCCGUGCCAUCAGCCUCGGUAAUA
rnacentral:rRNA from 1 species